CCAAUGUGACGUUACCAAACUGUUGCCUCGGCGGGAUCUUCUGCCCCGGGUGCGUCGCAGCCCCGGACCAAGGCGCCCGCCGGAGGAAUCAACCAAAACUCUUAUUGUAUACCCCCUCGCGGGUUUUUUUAUAAUCUGAGCCUUCUCGGCGCCUCUCGUAGGCGUUUCGAAAAUGAAUCAAAACUUUCAACAACGGAUCUCUUGGUUCUGGCAUCGAUGAAGAACGCAGCGAAAUGCGAUAAGUAAUGUGAAUUGCAGAAUUCAGUGAAUCAUCGAAUCUUUGAACGCACAUUGCGCCCGCCAGUAUUCUGGCGGGCAUGCCUGUCCGAGCGUCAUUUCAACCCUCGAACCCCUCCGGGGGGUCGGCGUUGGGGAUCGGCCUUCCUUCACGGGGGCCGUCUCCGAAAUACAGUGGCGGUCUCGCCGCAGCCUCUCCUGCGCAGUAGUUUGCACACUCGCAUCGGGAGCGCGGCGCGUCCACAGCCGUUAAACACCCAACUUCUGAAAUGUUGACCUCGGAUCAGGUAGGAAUACCCGCUGAACUUAAGCAUAUCAAUAAGCGGAGGA
rnacentral:rRNA from 1 species